GAGGCCGGCCGAGGCAGGAAGGGCCGUGGUGGGCGGGGCGGAAGAAAGUGGGUGUAGGGAAGGGGCUCGGCCCCCGAAGGCGGCCGCAAAGCUGCGACCCGACCGACUGUCGGCUGCAGGGAUGUUGGUCCUUUAUCGGUGCCCGCGUGCCCUUGAGCAGUGAACUCCGUCUCUGAGCCUCAGUCUUCUUUCCUGCAAAACGGGAAUGGUUGUGCGUUACCUCGCAGGGUGACUGAAUAAAAGCAGGCGUGAAGGCGCCGAGCGGGAUAAUGCCUUUGCACGGACCCCGGACCGCGCGCGGGCUCCUGCUGGUGAUAUUCUCCGGGGCGAAUUCCUCUCUGCAGCGCUGAGAUUCUCCAGGGCGUUUCAGUCGGCCCAUGGAGCACGAACUUAGGGUUCCCUGUGCAUCGCUCUUGCCAUCUCGUGCAGCCAUGCUUGCUCGGACCUCCUCCUUUCUCAUGCUUGCAUUUCAGCACCAGGCCUCUCCCUCGUCCCUCGGCUUCCACCAGCCCGCCAACACAGGCCUUUCUGAAGCUUUCUUCCAGAAAGCAUUCUCUGAUUCCUGCCGACCUCCAGGUUCCCCCCAGGCUUCUCGCUUGCUGACCUCAGGCCACUAGUUUCAGAGGAAUCCCAAAGCCCUCACAUGGUAGAAUCCUUGCCUAGCUCAAAACCCUCCCAAGGCGGUGCAGCUUAUAGUCCAAGUGCCUGGCGCUAGGACCUGUUGAUGUCUCCAGCCAGUGACCCUGGCUGCGUGCAUUAUGCGUUAGGCGUUGUCACUCUGAAGGACAAGUAGUUCUCCAGGCUUGUUCGGUCCUGGCUGAGUAAUAGUGCGUGGAAUGGAUACACCACAUAGGAUUUAUCCACUUCUCAAACACUGGUGGACAUUUAGUUUCUUUCCACGUUUUCGCUCUUACGAAUAAUGCUGCUCUGAACAUUCAUGCCUAAGGUUUUGUUGAGUAUCUACCUGCAAAUGGAAUUGCUGGGUCACAUGGUAAAUUUUCAUCUUUAACGUUUUGAGGAAACACGCCAUUUUUUUAUUCCCACCAGCACUGUCUGAGGGUUCCAGUUUUCCCUGCAUCCUCGUCAAGCUCUGGUGUGUCUUUGGGUUCACCCAACAGCCUUUUCCUUCAGGUCCUGCAGCACCUUCCACUUGGACUUGAACUACGCGUGAUCUCUGUAAGCACCCACCUCAUCCAUCCAGCUUCUUUUUCUUGCCCUUUGUACCACAGCUGCUUCCUAGAUUCUUGACCUUGGUUUCUUCAGCCUGCCAAGCCUCCUCCCUGGCCAUCGAGAGAGAUCCCUCCGCUUAGAAAUGGGCCAAAUGUUUCAGAACAGAAGCUAUUAAAGUGGCUGGCGAACACAGGCAGAGGUGCUCAGCAUCAUUGGGCAUCAGGAAGGUCUGAAAUGAGAUACACUUCCCACCCACUAGGCUGAGAGUAUAAAGACUUUCAGGAUCAAGUGUUGGGGAGGGUGUGAAGCGGCUGGAACCUGCAUACACUGCUGACAGGUAUGCAUAUUGCUGCAGCCACUUAGAAAACCAUUAACACACACUAAGGCUAAGCGGACAUGUACUCCAGGUCCCAGCACUUCCAUUCCCAGAUACACACUCAUAAGAAGUGUGUCCUUAUAUCCAUCAAAUGACAUGUAUGAGAAUAUUCCUAGUAGCCUUGUUCAUAAUAGACCAAAACUCGAAACAAAUGUCCGUCAGCAGUUAGAAAGAAAAGAGAAGGAAGUUGUGGGAUAGCCAUACAACACAACCUACACAGCAAUGGGAAAACAAAAAAAGUGAACUGUUGAAAACAACGGCAUGGCUGACAUAUGUUGAGUGAAAGAAGUCAGGCAUGAAAAAGUACUUAAAAAAAAUAUAACUAUAUUUAUAUGAGGUUUAAAAACAAGCCAAAGUAGUCUUUGGGAGUUGAAAUCAGAAAAAGUGGUUACCCUUUCUCGGGGUUAAUGACCGACAGGAAGCAUUCGGGGGAGCUCUCUAGGGUGCUGAUUAUGUUGCUGUGUAUAUAUGUAAAAAUUCACUGAUCUGUUACUUUGUGUAAUUAACAUCUUAUAUAAAAAAACCCCGAAGCAUGGUGGCCUCUAUACGACAGAUGGGGAAACUGAGUCACCAAGUGAGAAUGGUGUCACACAACGCUUCUCAGAUUCCCCUGGGGAGACUUGGGGUCUGAGUGUUCGGAGACUAUACUGGGAUCCUGUCAUUUCUAAGCUGCUUCAUUAAAAUCUGAAGUUUGCUACAAAA